rnacentral:rRNA from 1 species
AUAGCGUAUAUUAAAGUUGUUGAGGUUAAAAAGCUCGUAGUUGAACCUUGGGUCUAGCCGGCCGGUCCGCCUCACCGCGUGCACUGGCUCGGCUGGACCUUUCCUUCUGGAGAACCGCAUGCCCUUCACUGGGUGUGCUGGGGAACCAGGACUUUUACUCUGAAAAAAUUAGAUCGCUUAAAGAAGGCCUAUGCUCGAAUACAUUAGCAUGGAAUAAUAGAAUAGGACGUGUGGUUCUAUUUUGUUGGUUUCUAGAGCCGCCGUAAUGAUUAAUAGGGACAGUCGGGGGCAUCAGUAUUCAAUUGUCAGAGGUGAAAUUCUUGGAUUUAUUGAAGACUAACUACUG